AGUGAACGCUGGCGGUAGGCCUAACACAUGCAAGUCGAACGGCAGCACAGUAAGAGCUUGCUCUUACGGGUGGCGAGUGGCGGACGGGUGAGGAAUACAUCGGAAUCUACUUUUUCGUGGGGGAUAACGUAGGGAAACUUACGCUAAUACCGCAUACUACCUACGGGUGAAAGCAGGGGAUCUUCGGACCUUUCGCGAUUGAAUGAGCCGAUGUCGCAUUAGCUAGUUGGCUGGGUAAAGGCCCACCAAGGCGACGCUCCGUAGCUGAUCUGAGAGGAGGAUAGGCCACACUGGAAAUGAGACACGGUCCAGACUCCUACGGGAGGGAGCAGGAGGGAAUAUUUGGCAAUGGGGGAAAGCCUGACGGAGCCAAGCCGGGGGAGUGAAGAAGGGCUUUGGAUUGUAAAACCCUUUUAUUUGGGAAGAAAAAACGUGUGGUUAACUCCCCACUUUUUGACGGUACCCAAAAAGAAAGCCACGGCUAACUACGUG
rnacentral:rRNA from 1 species